rnacentral:rRNA from 13 species
GCGGCGGACGGGUGAGUAACACGUGGGCAACCUGCCCUGCAGACUGGGAUAACUUCGGGAAACCGGAGCUAAUACCGGAUAACACCGAAAACCGCAUGGUUUUCGGUUGAAAGGCGGCUUUUAGCUGUCACUGCAGGAUGGGCCCGCGGCGCAUUAGCUAGUUGGUGAGGUAACGGCUCACCAAGGCGACGAUGCGUAGCCGACCUGAGAGGGUGACCGGCCACACUGGGACUGAGACACGGCCCAAACUCCUACGGGAGGCAGCAGUAGGGAAUCUUCCGCAAUGGACGAAAGUCUGACGGAGCAACGCCGCGUGAGCGAAGAAGGUCUUCGGAUCGUAAAGCUCUGUUGUCAGGGAAGAACAAGUACCGUUCGAACAGGGCGGUACCUUGACGGUACCUGACGAGGAAGCCACGGCUAACUACGUGCCAGCAGCCGCGGUAAUAC